UCCUGGGGGUGUCUAGAACUCCCCUGAGUCCACGCCGCCGCCUUCGCCUCAGCCCGUUUCUCAGUCCAAAUGGCAACUGACCCCCUUCCACCACCCGUGCCCCGCCCCCGGCCCCGCCUCCCGGCUCUGGGGACGCGGCAGCUGCCUCAACGAGCUUUCCCAUUGGGUCUACUUCUCUCCUCCAGAACUCUGCUGAUUGGUUUUGGUGUAUGAAUGAAAGGGUCAUUUACCAAUAAGAGUGGGGUGAGGUUUGGCAUGGAGGGGGCGUACUUCGCUGAGGAGGAAAAAGAAUUGACAGCCUUUGAGGGACUGUAUGCUGGGGUCACUCUCAGAAGAAACAUUCCUCUCUGCUCCCUUCUGCCUUCAGACCAAAACUUGGACUGGAGUCUGUUAAGAGAAAUGGAUAAAACUUAAUUAAAAUAGAAGAAUCACAUUCAGUACUUAGCCCAAUCAAUUUUGGAGGUCAUUUCCUCCCAAACUUAACGCCAGACUCUGGAAACCUAAUACUGCCUUGGAGAUAACAAAUAAUAUUCAAGGCCUGAACAACUGGGAGAAAGUCUAAUCUUGUCAGACAAAGAAAGGAAAAUAAAUAAAUAAAUACAU